AACAGCAGCCAUGGCUCACAGUGUGGGCUGGUGUGACGGGGGCAGCUGAGAGGCUGUGUCCCCCAGCCUGGAGUCAGGCCUAUGCCUCCCUGGCAGUGUGGCCAGCUUAGGCAGCCCCCUAGGGCUCUCGGAGGUCAGAGGUGGAGAGAGUGGAGCAGGAUGGAGCCCAGGUCCCCAGCUGCAGCCAUGCCCGGCCACCGUACCACCCCUGAGAAGAGCAAGGAUCGCGGCAGCAACACGAUCGGCGCCCGCCUGAACCGAGUAGAAGACAAGGUGACGCAGCUGGACCAGAGGCUGGCACUCAUCACCGACAUGCUUCACCAGCUGCUCUCCUUGCACGGUGGUAGCACCCCCAGCAGCGGCGGCCCCCCCAGAGAGGGCGGGGCCCACAUCACCCAGCCCUGCGGCAGUGGCGGCUCCGUCGACCCUGAGCUCUUCCUGCCCAGCAACACCCUGCCCACCUACGAGCAGCUGACCGUGCCCAGGAGGGGCCCCGAUGAGGGGUCCUGAGGGGGGGUUGGGGCUGGGGGGUGGUCCUGAGAGGGGAGGCCAAGAGGGGCCUCACGUGGCCCUCUCUGAAGGCGGCCACCUCCUGAAAGGCCCAGAGAGAAGAGCCCCGCUCUCAGAGGCCCAAUACCCCAUGGAGCAUGCUGUCCGGCACAGCCUGAGCUUGGGGGCUCAGCAAGGCCACCUCUUCCUGGCUGGUGGGUACUAGAAGUUGGCUGGGUGUGGGGGCCCCAUCUCAGGUCUGAGUUGUUACCCCUAGCGCCCUGGCCCCCACAUGGCGAUGUUGACAUCACUGGCCUGGUGGUUGGGACCCAGUGGCGGGGCACCGGGCCUGGCCCAUGUAUGGCCAGGAAGUAGCACAGGCUGAGUGCAGGCCCACCCUGCUUGGCCCAGGGGGCUUCCUGAGGGGAGACAGAGCAACCCCUGGACCCCAGCCUCAAAUCCAGGACCCUGCCAGGCACAGGCAGGGCAGGACCAGCCCACGCUGACUACAGGGCCGCCGGCAAUAAAAGCCCAGGAGCCCAUUUG
rnacentral:sRNA from 1 species